CCCCUAACUGUUCCCUUUGAUCCCACUUAUGUGUAGUACCGCACAUGCUAUGUUCCUUCCCCAGCACAGCCCAUUCUGCUGGGGAGGGAACUGGGGGAGGGAGAGUCCCAUGGCCACCAACGCUCACUCGCUUUUUCACUGACAUCGCUAUCUGCCUACAAUCCAUGCUGGAAAUCUCUGUCGAGAAUAUUCUGCUAAAUCACACAAAAAAGAACAACACCCUCAAGGUUCAUUCCCUUCUAAUCCUCUUCCUGACUCUUAAAACUUUUUAUUUAUUUAUUUUUAUUUUGCAGGCAUGGGUGGCCACUUGGACACUCGAGGCCUGAAGAAGAGCUUCUGGUAAUAAAGAAAUAUAAAUAAAACAAGAGAAAUAAAAGGCACAGUGGGACAAGGUCAGGAGGAAAUUGGAUUCAUUUCAUAUUUCGCAGCAGCGGCACUGGCUUCCCUCUGGCUCUCGGUCAAAUCUGGUUUUGAGAACAGACAGCUCCUGGCAGCCUAUCUAUCACAUCUCACAAGCGCGGUGUCAAGGGUUUAAUUUGAAUUUGGUCCUCCCUGAUGGCCAAGGCCACCUCGCCACCCAAAAACUGGGGAGGGAAUAGCUGUGAGGUUCACACGGCAUUUUCAAUUAAAUAGGCAGCAGAGAAGGGGGGAGAAGACACAUAUUUAUGGCACGGAAUUUAAGUUGAAAUUUGAGUUUAGCAAUAAAGGUUUAUGACAGCUCUUGCAGGAGAGGGCCGCUGAGAGGUGAGGCUGUGCAUAUCGCUUUGCGGGGGACAGUCGGAGGUUGCGUUUACUUAUUCCCAGACACGUUAUAUUGACCAGUUGUUGUAAUUAAAAAGUCCAUUGGGGGCGCCUGGGUGGCUCAGCUGGUUAAAGGUCUGACUCUUGAUUUCGGCUAAGGUUAUGAUCUCAGGGUUGUGAGUUCAAGCCCCACCUCAGGCUCCACACUGGGCAUGAUGCCUGCUUGAGAUUCUGUCUCCCUCUCCCUCACUCCCCUGCUCACAUGUGUGCACGUGCUCUCUCUCUCUCUCAAAAAGCAAAAAUAAAAAUAAAAAAGUCAGUUGGCGUUGGGCAAAUAAGCUGAAUCUCCUCGUCGCCUUUUAGGAAGCUCUGUGGCUAAGACACCCGCAUGAAAAUUCUGCCCUAUUUCUGCAGUAAAUUUCCCAUUCCUGGGUUGGGUCAACCAGUGUGUAUCAGAUUUAUACCAGAUUUUCUUUGGGGGUGAUUGUCUGCAAUCACAGAAAAUGUGAAUUGAGAUCUUAGCCUAGUGUCCCAAGGAAAUCUUUGAAGAGGGUUUGCUUUCCAGAUUUUUAAAUGUAAAGGUGAUUUCAUUUGAAACUGUAAAUUCUAACCUUUAGGACUGGUGGUUGGCUGCACCUCUUGCCCUGUCCACUGCCUGUCUCACGAUUUCUAGUCUCCUACCUCAGGUUUCCCUCCUGCCUGCCAGAUGGCCACCAAAUGAAAAUUCCUGAGGCCCCGCUGGAUCAUGUCAACUCCAAAUGCCAAGCCGUUAGUUCUGCGAGGAGGGGAUUCUGCUCAGCUCACGGCUCCAUAUCCCACAGAACACAGCACAGUCUUCUGUGGUCCCUGGAACGUAAGCCUGUCAUCCGCACAGGAAGUUCAAACUGGCAAAUUCUCGGGAACUUUCCUGCUAUAGAAAGGAAUGCACCUCUUUGGAUCCUGCCCCACAGUUGUGGUCUCGAGCUAUGGGAAAGAGAAGGACAUUGCAAACGAAGUCUCCAAUCUGGAAGAGUGAAUGGGUCAACGUGAAUGCGCUCAGUCAAGGGGUGCUUUCCCUUCCUGAAUUAAAAAUCUCCCCAAAUGAGCGGCCUCCUGCCCGGAUACAGAGCUCACAUAACACAUACUGUGCUCUUCCGUCAGUCCGUCUUCCUCCUUUAUCCAGAUGAGCCCUGUAGGCAAUUUACAUGCCAUUUGUCCACAAGGGAAGUAAUUAACCUCCCCUCACCCUGGGAGAAAGGAUGGCGCUGUAAAGGGGGGCAGCUCCUCACUGUCCGCAGGUGGGAGGGCCGCCCCAGGGGAGGGGGCAGCUGGCCAGCGCAGACUUCCCUCUGUGAACUGGAAUGGGUUUCAUUGACUUUCAGCCUCCCAGGGGUGUCUGUGGGAUUGAAAAGUGCUGCCAGACCAUGGGGUCAAAGAGAAUGGGCCCAGCAAGGCGCAGGCUUCCCCUGGAGGGGAGAAUGGCAGUGGCCCCUUAAUCACCAGCUCCCCCCCCAACCCCAGAGGGGCUGGCCCAGAGAAAGGCCAGGUGGACCCACACUUCUUCCGCAGAUCAGAUUUGUGGAGACCCUUGUAAGCUGGCCAUUUCUGAGCCAACGCAAUAUGAGACGGGUCUUCCUUUGCCCUGAGGAUUUUAUCAUCAAAAUGAUGUGAAAGAAAUCUCCAUUUAGAAAAUUCUCAAUCAUUUUGGAGAACAGUGUCCUAUUAGAACCAACAUUAUCCUCCCACAUACAGACGGUCCCCUAUGUAGGAUGGCUCAACUUAGGAUUUUUCAACUUCACGAUGGUGCAAAAGCGAUAGGCCUUCAGGAGAAAGAAACUAUAGUUAGAAUUUUUGCUGUUGAUUUUUUUUCUCCGGGCUAGCGACUGGUGGUACUCCCAUGCUGCUGGGGGGUGGGGUGAGGGCAAUAGGCCACCAGGGCCAACAACCGGCACAAUUCGCAACUAUUCUGCACCCACAUAACCAUCUGUUCUUCACUUCCAGUACAGUGUCCAAGAGAUUACCAGAUAGUCAACACUCCAUUAUCAAACGGGCUUUGUGUGUGAUGGUUAUGUCCAACUGUGGGCUAAUGUUAGUGUUCUGAGCACAUUUCAGGUGGGCUGGGCUAAGCUAUGCUGGUUGGUAGGUUAGGGGUAUUAAGGAAAUAUUCAAAUUACGAGGGGUUUCUCAGGUUGUAACCCCAUUAUAAGUCGAGGAAGAUCUGUAUUCCACACUCCAGAAGAAAAGAGUAAACCAGCGAUGGAACACUCAUCAGUAUCCUUCUGCAUCUGACAAGAGUGAUGUCUCCAGUUUCCAGUGCGUCUCUGGAACAGCAGCACAGCAGGGGGAGCUGGAGCUCAGGGACCACCCAACCCCUCCUGGUUCCCCAGAAUUUGGUGACCAUCUCUGCGGCUAACCCGGAUGUCUCCAAGGCUCCAAGCUACAGAACCUAUCACCCCAUGGACACUGCGUGGAUGUUCUGAUGACCUCAGAAACCACUGAGCUGCCCGAGCAGGUCACCGUUGACCCACGUCAUACUCAUUUCAGACUCAUCCUGAGCGGCCUUCUGUUUUGAUGA